rnacentral:lncRNA from 1 species
AGCGGAAAUUGAUUGGAAAAUGAAAAAGAAAACAAAAAACAAUUCAAUUAUCUACUACCACAUUGACAUCACAAAAAAAAUCUUAUCAAAAUUCACUAUAUCCACGACUUUUUCUUAAUUUUUAGUACACAAAAUUUAAAACAUGCAAAUGAAUAGAUUUGAUCCUAUCAGACACACUUGCCUCCAAAGUCGUCUUCUUAUGACCCACCACAUGUAGUGCUUUUCUCACCAAAUCUCUUAUCAUUCGUACACAUGCCAGCCAAUCUAAUCUUUUGUCAUUUGAACACAAAUAGAGGUGUCAAAAUCGUUCGAGAAAUCCUACCUUCAUAGUUGAGUCAUAUCAGUAAGUCCAGCCUCGACUAUGAAGAUCACAGCCAGAUCACACAAGAAUUGAAGAGUAUUAAGGCCCCGAUUGGGAGGAAUUUUGAUAAUUGAUUUUUUGACCGUUAGAAGAAAAGUAGGGUUCACCCGUGAGAGAAAAAAUCAAAAAUUACGGUUAAAAUAGUUAAAUAACAGUCAAAAAAUCAAUUUUUUUGAGUAAAAAAUCCCUUACAAACAGGCUGUUAGGCCAUCUCCAACCCUACACCAAAUUUUGCACCAAAUCUUGCACCAAACUAAAAUUCAUAUCCAAUCAUUACACCAAAAAUUACACCAAAUGAACAGUGUUUUACCAUUUUCUUCCCUUUUUUUAUUCUUUAUAAUUUAUUUAUUCGAAAUAUUAUUUAUUUAAUUAUUUCAUAAAUACAUAAAUUAAUAA